rnacentral:sRNA from 2 species
UACGAGUUCGCGUGAGGGAUGGUAGUGGAGCUCUUUUUUUAGGCAAAGAAAAAUUGCCUAAAAAAAGAGCGGGAACGUACAGCCCGACCCGAA